UACGGAGGGUGCAAGCGUUGUCCGGAAUCACUGGGCGUAAAGGGCGCGUAGGCGGCUCACGAAGGCUGUGGUGAAAGUCCGGGGCUCAACCUCGGAUCGGCCGUGGCGACUCGUGGGCUGGAGCACUGUAGAGGCGGGUGGAAUUCCGGGUGUAGCGGUGGAAUGCGUAGAGAUCCGGAAGAACACCAGUGGCGAAGGCGGCCCGCUGGGCAGUGGCUGACGCUGAGGCGCGACAGCGUGGGGAGCAAACAGG
rnacentral:rRNA from 1 species